rnacentral:rRNA from 1 species
CCCUUAGAUGUCCUGGGCCGCACGCGCGCUACACUGAACGGAUCAGCGCGUUUUCCCUUCCCGAGAGGGACGAGUAACCUGCUGAACCCCGUUCGUGGUAGGGAUCGGGGCUUGCAAUUAUUCCCCGUGAACCAGGAAUGCCCAGUAAGUGCAAGUCAUAAGCUUGCGUUGAUUACGUCCCUGCCCUUUGUACACACCGCCCGUCGCUACUACCGAUUGAACGUUUUAGUGAGGUACUCGGACUGAGCCUCAGAAGAUUCACGUCUUUUGUGCUGCUCGGGAAGAUUCCCAAACUUGAGCGUUUAGAGGAAGUAAAAGUCGUAACA